UUUUACAUUCACUUUAAAACAAGAUAUAAAGAAUUUAAAGAACAAAUAAUAAAUAAAUAUAUAUACAUAGUUUCAAUAUUGAAAUUCAAUAACUAUCUUGAAGACAAAUAACAAAAGUAAAUAAUUCCUGAAUAUUAUUUGAUAUAAUAUCAUAGCACUGGUUAUUGAUAAAACACAGUCAACCCGGGGUCAACUUUUUAUAUUUACACCGGGGAUUUUAAUCAUAAGGGGGAUCUCAUUCAUUUCAAACAUGUUUUUUAAUAUACAUUUUACUACACUAUGGUUGAAAUACACGUCUGGCGUAAAAAAUUCUAAACCUUGUAUCUAUGAGAGUUUUAAUGUGCAUAAAUGCCCUUUUCACUAGUUUGAAUGCCUGUUUUGAGGUAUUCAAAAUAUAAUAAAGAAUUUCAGUAGGCAAGCUAUGACAUAACCAGUCAGCAAGGCAAUAGUGUGGCAUAAAAGCGUAUAAAGGCCAUACAUGCCAUAAUAGAAAACAAAAAUGGAAAUAUCUUGCAGGUCAAAAGUUUUCAUACAAGUUUUUUUCCAAUUUAAAAUUAAUCUAUACCCAUAAUAUUGCACAUGUUUAUAACAUGAAUCUUAUAUUCUACCAAGGUGCUUCCAGUAACAAUACAAAAAAGGCCAGACUUUUAAUUCAGAUUUCAUUUUGAAUAAUAUUUCAAAACAUUAACAUUACUUUGAG
rnacentral:lncRNA from 1 species